GUUACCGUCAAAGCUGCUCGCGCUGUCACGGGAAGAUGCGCUCGCACGUCACCCCGCCGAAGCUUCACUAAAUGAAACUACAGCAGCACUUUGCACUUACAAGCCAUGCAUAAAACAAUGCUUCUCAUGUUUACUUUACAACUAAAUGGGCCAAAGCACGACGCAAAUAAGGUCAACGAGAAGAAAACGGGAACAUGGAUAGAAGCAUGAAGAAGACAUAGAAGAUAGCGAGCCUCUGACCUCGCGGCAACAGUUUGGGCGCGGCGCUUUCUUUUUCUCAACAGGUCCCUGUGCACAUAGCCCGCGUUGGGGUAAGAAACCCGGACUGACCCGUGCCGAGCUCAGACCUGCACUCCUUCCAGCACCUCUGGGUUGCCCAUCGGCUGUGAGGACGUGUCUCCCAAAAUCAGUAACCCACCUCACUGUUGCUCCUGCAGCCGGGUUCCAAGUCUCAUCUAGUGAAAAAAGCUUUUCAAGAAGAGCGUACCAAGGAGAUUACCAUCUGUGGACGAGACGCGGGCGCCAUGGUGAUGUCCCUGCAAAUAAGCAGACGCAAAAACACGCCACCUACAGAGCAGACGAGGGCGAGGACACGGAGAGAGAGAGAGAGAGAGAGAGAAAGACACAAAUGAAGAAACAUUUUAUUAUGCAAGAUCAAAAUGAUAUCAAAUGGCGUAGAGAUAAUAACAUCCGGAGCAGCUGAGUCCACAAGCCUGCCGAGUGAGGCCAGCGGUGGUUUGUUAUCGCUCGUGGCACAUGAGACAGUUCAAGGCUCAGUGCGGUGACGCCAAGACGCACGUCACAUGUGUCCGUGCGGAGCUGCAGAGGUCACUUCAUCAGAUCCCAUCCGGAUGGUAGAAGGUGUCAUGGUACUAGAUGGGGAAACAUGCAGUAAGCUUUUCAUCAGAUAUCAGCUUACCCGCAGUGCGCAGCUGCAUCAAAAAGUAAGGCGCGCGAAAAUGCAAUUACACUCCAAAUACAUUGAGAGAUGACGAGGACACGACAGCGUCAUGUCACCUCUGAGGACGUGCUGAGGGAUGUUCAUGGCAGCUUAAUGACCCAAUGGGCUUCUCAUGUUAGUUUUUAGCUGCAUGGAGAAUAUUAACUGUGUCCUCAAUGGUAUUUUUAAACCUGUUUUCUUCAUGUUCACAC
ensembl:lncRNA